ACUNCGCAUGGAGNAGUCUGACCNGCACGUCCGCGUGCAGUGAAGAAGGUUUUCGGAUCGUAAAGCUCUGUUGUUAGAGAAAAAAGAUUGUGAAAGUGGAAAGUUCACACUGUGACGGUUUCUUACCGAAAAGGGUCGGCUAACUACUUGCCCCAGCCGCGGUAAUAC
rnacentral:rRNA from 1 species